CAUUUUUUAAAUGAUUAUGCGUCACUAUAAUUAGCAUAAGCUCUGUAUUAAUUAGGAUAAGUUGUUUUCUUCUUCGCCCCCAACUGAUUUAGUAAAUAUUUUAAUAGUAAAUGAGAUCAAGAAGCCAAAAUACAUGAAUUGAAGAGAGCUUGAAAUGGCUUACUUCUGUAAUCGAUUCCCUAUGGAAGUCCACAAAAACUGAGCUGUCCUUGUUUCCUUGUUCUGCUUGGACUCUAUCAGUCAUGAGCUCAUGAACAAGAUCGUUAAUCGUUGGCGGUUCACUUCGAGCAAUCAUGUGAUGAUACACAAUAAAAAAUAUGAAUACUGUGUGCUAGCUAGCUGUGUGCAAUACCGGGUUGAUUUGGGUUUUAAGUCUUACAAACAAACGUUUAGUUUGAUUAUCAUAUAAAUGUCCAUCUACUUUGCUUGAAGGAGGUGGUUGGAGUUUUUUUUUUUCUU
rnacentral:sRNA from 1 species